rnacentral:rRNA from 1 species
GACGAACGCUGGCGGCGCGCUUAAUACAUGCAAGUCGAACGAGAAGCCAGAGCUUGCUCUGGUGGAAAGUGGCGAACGGGUGAGUAACACGUGAGAAACCUGCCCCAAAGAUUGGGAUAAGCCUUGGAAACGAGGUCUAAUACCAAAUACCUUCUUUUAACACAUGUUAAAAAGAAGAAAUGCUCCGGCGCUUUGGGAUGGUCUCGCGAUCUAUCAGCUUGUUGGUGAGGUAACGGCUCACCAAGGCAUCGACGGAUAGCUGGUCUGAGAGGAUGUCCAGCCACAUUGGAACUGAGACACGGUCCAAACUCCUACGGGAGGCAGCAGUAGGGAAUCUUGCACAAUGAGGGAAACCUUGAUGCAGCGACGCCGCGUGCGGGACGAAGGCCCUAGGGUUGUAAACCGCUUUCAGUAGGGACGAAAGUGACGGUACCUACAGAAGAGCCCGGCCAACUAUGUGCCAGCAGCCGCGGUAAU